rnacentral:rRNA from 1 species
UACGUAGGGCGCAAGCGUUAUCCGGAAUUAUUGGGCGUAAAGAGCUCGUAGGCGGUUUGUCGCGUCUGCCGUGAAAGUCCGGGGCUCAACUCCGGAUCUGCGGUGGGUACGGGCAGACUAGAGUGAUGUAGGGGAGACUGGAAUUCCUGGUGUAGCGGUGAAAUGCGCAGAUAUCAGGAGGAACACCGAUGGCGAAGGCAGGUCACUGGGCCGCAACUGACGCUGAGGAGCGAAAGCAUGGGGAGCGAACAGG